rnacentral:misc_RNA from 1 species
AACGCACAUUGCGCCCGCUAGUAUUCUGGCGGGCAUGCCUGUCCGAGCGUCAUUUCAACCCUCAGGGCCCCUUUCGGGGAGGACCUGGUGUUGGGGAUCGGCCAUCUCACGGUGGCCGGCCCUGAAAUUCAGUGGCGGUCUCGCUGCAGCUUCCCCUGCGUAGUAGCACACCUCGCACCGGAGAGCAGCCUGGCCACGCCGUGAAACACCCCAAUUUUUCAAGGUUGACCUCGGAUCAGGUAGGAAUACCCGCUGAACUUAA